rnacentral:rRNA from 1 species
UACGGGGGGGGCAAGCGUUGUUCGGAAUUACUGGGCGUAAAGGGCUCGUAGGCGGCCAACGAAGUCAGUCGUGAAAUCCCUCGGCUCAACCGGGGAACUGCGUCUGAUACUGGAUGGCUUGAAUCCGGAAGAGGGAUGCGGAAUUCCAGGUGUAGCGGUGAAAUGCGUAGAUAUCUGGAGGAACACCGGUGGCGAAGGCGGCAUCCUGGGUCGGCAUUGACGCUGAGGAGCGAAAGCCAGGGGAGCAAACGGG